rnacentral:rRNA from 1 species
UUGUUUUUACUGUUUCUUUUGGCCGCGCGGGCUCGGGUUUAGUUAUUAAUAGGGAUAGUUGGGGGCAUUAAUAUUUAAUUGUCAGAGGUGAAAUUCUUGGAUUUAUGAAAGAUUAACUUCUGCGAAAGCAUCUGCCAAGGAUGUUUUCAUUAAUCAAGAACGAAAGUUAGGGGAUCGAAGACGAUCAGAUACCGUCGUAGUCUUAACCAUAAACGAUGCCGACCAGCGAUUAGGAGACGUUGAAUACAAAACACCACCAUCGGCGCGGUCGUCCUUGGCGUCGGUCUUUCGGGGGCCGGGCGCGGGGCGGGCUGAGCCCCGGUGCACCUCGGA